rnacentral:rRNA from 1 species
GUAAUAUAUCGGAACGUGCCCAGUCGUGGGGGAUAACGUAGAGAAAUUUACGCUAAUACCGCAUACGAUCUAAGGAUGAAAGCGGGGGAUCGCAAGACCUCGCGCGAUUGGAGCGGCUGAUAUCAGAUUAGGUUGUUGGUGAGGUAAAAGCUCACCAAGCCGACGAUCUGUAGCUGGUUUGAGAGAACGACCAGCCACACUGGGACUGAGACACGGCCCAGACUCCUACGGGAGGCAGCAGUGGGGAAUUUUGGACAAUGGGCGAAAGCCUGAUCCAGCAAUGCCGCGUGCAGGAAGAAGGCCUUCGGGUUGUAAACUGCUUUUGUACGGAACGAAACGGCCUGCCCUAAUACGGCGGGCUAAUGACGGUACCGUAAGAAUAAGCACCGGCUAACUACGUGCCAGCAGCCGCGGUAAUACGUAGGGUGCGAGCGUUAAUCGGAAUUACUGGGCGUAAAGCGUGCGCAGGCGGUUAUGUAAGACAGUUGUGAAAUCCCCGGGCUCAACCUGGGAAUUGCAUCUGUGACUGCAUAGCUAGAGUACGGUAGAGGGGGAUGGAAUUCCGCGUGUAGCAGUGAAAUGCGUAGAUAUGCGGAGGAACACCGAUGGCGAAGGCAAUCCCCUG